AGUGUGGGUCGGUCAGCGGUCGGCUAAAGAAGACGUGGCCGGAGAAUCGCGCGGCAGUGCAGCGGUUGGAACGAAGGUUGCGCGCGGCUGGCUUCACGAACCGACCGACGGUUACGAGCGGUGGAUCUGGGUUACUGCGAACUACCAGGGUGAAGCACGAGCGGCGGCGGUUGUGAUGUAGAUCUGGACGACGGUUGUGAGCGAAGGUCACGCGGCAGUUACAGGUGGAUGGGCGCGGCAGUUUUCGAUCCGAAGGAGAAAAGAGAGGGUGGCGGUUGGGUUCGGC
rnacentral:lncRNA from 1 species